rnacentral:SRP_RNA from 1 species
GCCGCGCGUCAUGGCGCAUGCCUAUAGUCCCAGCUACUCAGGAGGCUGAGGUGGGAGGAUCGCUUGAGCCCAGGAGUUCUGGGCCGUAGUGCACUAUGCCAAUCGAGUGGCUGCACUGAGUUCGGCAUCAAUAUGGUGACCUCCUGGGAGCAGGGGACCACCAGGUUGACUGAGGAGGGGUGAACCGGCCCAGGUCGGAAAUGGAGCAGGUCCAAACUCCCAUGCUGAUCAGUAGUGGGAUCAUGCCUGUGAAUAGCCACUGCACUCCAGCCUGGGCAACAUAGCGAGAUCCUGUUUCU